GUGAAGUCUGAAGGAGGACGGGAGUGUGGAGGGAUGCCCAUUCCACCAGGUCCAGAAUUGGGCCCUCCAGGCCUCCUCCUCCCGGGUAGUUGGGUCGUCCAUACAUGCCCUGCUGCAUGUAGCCCUGGUUGGAGUUGCCUUUAUUGGGGAACUGCUGCUGAGGACCAGGGAACUGAGGUGAGUUCAUCCCUGGAUUGUUACCAGACAUACCCGAGCCCAUAGGGUUGCCCCCAGGGUUCAUUGGAUUGUUGUUGCUGGCCAUGGGAUUCCCCAACACCUGUUGGACACAGAGACAUGAUGAACGAGAGUCAUCAGGAGAUGAUAUAUCCUACUGGCAAACUACUACUAAUAACUUUUAACUCCAAGGUCAUAUGACUAUUUUAUUUUUUCAAGUUCUGGUCUUGCACCGUGAGACACUUAUGCCAUUACUUAAUCACAUAUCCUAUAACUGUCUCCAGGUGAUGUCACCCUUCUUCAGCAACACUUUAAAACUCCAGAAAUACAAUUCUGUGACACACAGUCCACUCAGAUGCACUCUUACUCCCUCGGACAGGUGGGUAGGAGAUCUCACCUGGCUCUGCGAGGUGUUGGUCACGCCCCAGACGGUGGUCACCACAGACAACGAACCUGGAGGCUGAUUGGAGGUCUGUUGCCAGGGAACGGAGUCGUAGGGAAAAGACCCAUCUCUGCAGGGAACAGAGAAAAACGUGUCAUGUAGGCAAAACAAAAUGUGACCUGUGCCAAUGUACCAAUAUUUGUGCAGCACAGCGGUAGUAAGUAUAUGUGCAUUUCCUGGAUGAUACGGAAAGACAUAAGGAUUAUAAAAUAAAAGCACGUUCUUCGUA